UGCCAGCCGCCGCGGUAAUACGAAGAAAACAAACGUUGUUCGGAAUCACUGGGCAUAAAGCGCACGUAGGCGGAUUGGUUAGUCGGUUGUGAAAGCCCGAGGCUCAACCCCGGAACUGCUUCCGAAACUGCCAGUCUGGAGGACAAGAGGGAAGAGUGGAACUUCUGGUGGAGCGGUGAAAUGCGUAGAUAUCAGAAGGAACACCGGUGGCGAAAGCGACUCUCUGGCUCGUUUCUGACGCUGAGGUGCGAAAGCUAGGGGAGCGAACGGGAUUAGAUA
rnacentral:rRNA from 1 species